rnacentral:rRNA from 1 species
AGGUUACGUCAAGACUCACGGUUAUUAACCGUAGGCUUUUCUUCUCUACUGAAAGUGCUUUACAACCCGCAGGCCUUCUUCACACACGCGGCAUUGCUGGAUCAGGCUUGCGCCCAUUGUCCAAUAUUCCCCA